UACCAGACUCCUACGGGAGGCAGCAGUGGGGGAUAUUGCACAAUGGGGGAAACCCUGAUGCAGCGACGCCGCGUGGGCGAAGAAGUAUUUCGGUAUGUAAAGCCCUAUCAGCAGGGAAGAAGAAAUGACGGUACCUGACCAAGAAGCCCCGGCUAACUACGUGCCAGCAGCCGCGGUAAUACGUAGGGGGCAAGCGUUAUCCGGAUUUACUGGGUGUAAAGGGGGCGCAGACGGCAAUGCAAGCCAGGAGUGAAAGCCCGGGGCCCAACCCCGGGACUGCUCUUGGAACUGCAUGGCUGGAGUACAGGAGGGGCAGGCGGAAUUCCUAGUGUAGCGGUGAAAUGCGUAGAUAUUAGGAGGAACACCGGUGGCGAAGGCGGCCUGCUGGACUGUGACUGACGUUGAGGCGCGAAAGCGUGGGUAGCGAACGGGAUUAGAUACCCCGGUA
rnacentral:rRNA from 1 species